UGAGGAAUAUUGGUCAAUGGGCGAGAGCCUGAACCAGCCAAGUAGCGUGAAGGAUGACUGCCCUAUGGGUUGUAAACUUCUUUUAUAAAGGAAUAAAGUCGGGUAUGUAUACCCGUUUGCAUGUACUUUAUGAAUAAGGAUCGGCUAACUCCGUGCCAGCAGCCGCGGUAAUACGGAGGAUCCGAGCGUUAUCCGGAUUUAUUGGGUUUAAAGGGAGCGUAGAUGGAUGUUUAAGUCAGUUGUGAAAGUUUGCGGCUCAACCGUAAAAUUGCAGUUGAUAUUGGAUAUCUUGAGUGCAGUUGAGGCAGGCGGAAUUCGUGGUGUAGCGGUGAAAUGCUUAGAUAUCACGAAGAACUCCGAUUGCGAAGGCAGCCUGCUAAGCUGCAACUGACAUUGAGGCUCGAAAGUGUGGGUAUCAAACAGG
rnacentral:rRNA from 1 species